rnacentral:lncRNA from 1 species
GGAAUUGAUCAAUAACAUUGCCAAAGCUCAUGGAGGUGUAUCCGUAUUUGGCGGAGUAGGUGAGCUUACUCGUGAGGGAAAUGAUCUUUAUAUGGAAAUGAAAGAAUCCGGAGUAAUUAAUGAAAAAAAUAUUGCGGAAUCAAAAGUAGCUCUAGUCUACGGGCAAAUGAAUGAACCGCCCGGAGCUCGUAUGAGAGUUGGUUUAACUGCCCUAACUAUGGCAGAAUAUUUCCGAGAUGUCAAUGAACAGGACGUCCUUCUAUUUAUCGACAAUAUCUUCCGUUUUGUCCAAGCCGGAUCCGAAGUAUCUGCCCUAUUGGGCCGAAUGCCUUCCGCUGUGGGUUAUCAACCCACCCUGGGUACUGAAAUGGGUACUUUACAAGAACGAAUUACUUCUACCAAAGAAGGGUCUAUAACUUCUAUUCAAGCAGUUUAUGUACCUGCAGACGAUUUGACCGAUCCUGCUCCUGCCACGACAUUUGCACAUUUGGAUGCUACUACUGUACUAUCAAGAGGAUUAGCUUCCAAAGGUAUCUAUCCAGCAGUCGAUCCUUUAGAUUCAACGUCAACCAUGCUCCAACCUCGGAUCGUUGGUGAAGAACAUUAUGAAACUGCGCAAAGGGUUAAACAAACGUUACAACGUUACAAAGAACUUCAGGACAUUAUAGCUAUUCUUGGGUUGGACGAAUUAUCCGAAGAGGAUCGUUUAACCGUAGCAAGAGCACGAAAAAUUGAACGUUUCUUAUCCCAACCUUUUUUCGUAGCAGAAGUAUUUACAGGUUCCCCAGGGAAAUAUGUUGGUCUAGCAGAAACAAUUAGAGGGUUUAAAUUGAUUCUUUCUGGAGAAUUAGAUAGUCUUCCUGAACAAGCCUUUUAUUUGGUGGGUAAUAUCGAUGAAGCUACUGCGAAGGCUGCGAACUUGUAAAUGGAGAACAAAUUCAAGAAAUGACUUUAAAUCUUUGUGUACUGACCCCCAAUCGAACUGUUUGGGAUUCAGAAGUGAAGGAAAUUAUUUUAUCUACUAAUAGUGGACAAAUUGGGGUAUUAAAAAAUCAUGCGCCUAUUGCCACAGCUUUAGAUAUAGGUAUUUUGAAAAUACGCCUUAACAAUAACAACCGACAAUGGGUAACGAUGGCUCUGAUGGGCGGUUUUGCUAGAAUAGGAAAUAAUGAGAUCACUAUUUUAGUAAAUGAUGCGGAAAAGAGUAUUGACAUUGAUCCACAAGAAGCACAACAAACUCUAAAAAUAGCAGAAGCUAACUUGAAUAAGGCUGAAGGGAAAAGACAAAAAAUUGAGGCAAAUCUAGCUCUCCGACGAGCUAGGACACGAGUAGAGGCUAUCAAUAGGAUCUCGUAACAAGUUGGUUCAGCAAAAUAAUUAAAAAUAGAAAAAGAUAGAAAAUUACAAUAAAAAAAGAUGAGUAGAAAAACUUAUUAGAUACCGGAAUCAAUGGUAUCUAAUACGUUCUAUCUAUACCUUACCUACUAUUGGAUUUGAACCAAUGACUCCUGCCGUAUGAAAGCAAUACUCUAACCACUGAGUUAAGUAGGUCGUUUAUCAUCCUAAAUAAAAAAAGUACCCAUCUAUCAGAUCAAUGGAUUAUAAAUGUUAUAUUACUUAUAAACAAUACCAACGCACUAUCAAUCAAAGAGAUUCGAUCAUGUAAUAUUAAUCUUGACAAGAAUUUAUUUAUCGAAUAAAAUAUGUAUCAAAAGCACAAGGGCUAUAGCUCAGUUGGUAGAGCACCUCGUUUACACACGCGCCAAUGUUUUUUUUUCAUAGGAGUCCAUCAUGUAAUUAAAAGAGUUGAUCUUAUUGAGAAAUCCAUGUCUUACUCCAGGAAUAAAAUAAGAGAACAAUAGCCUGACAAAGGAUUUAGACGUCAAAUAAAAUCCAUAAUGGAUUUGAGAUAUUGAUAAGGUGAAUACUUAAUCUAUUCAAUGCUAGGCAAAUGAGUCUAGGGACCUCAAAAAAAUUCUCUUUUCUUCCUAUCUUAUGAACUUUAAGGUGUAUGAAGUUUCAUUUCCUAUUUGAUAUUUUUAUUUAAGUGGGUUGAUAGAGAGUCCAUUUAACUUUAGUUGAUCCAGGCCAAAAGCAGACCUACGUCAGGAUAACCUUCUUCUUUGAAAAACUUUGGUAGUGCUCUUAGAUUAAAAUCUAAAAAAAAAUAAAUCAGAGCACAGGGAAUCAUUUCCUUUUUCUUUGUGUAAAGAAAAAAGAUGGUAGACUAAUUGAUAUUUCUAUCAGUUAAUGAAAAAGCCCAAUGCAAAAAAAAAUGCACGUUGGGUUUUUAAAACAAUUCAAAUCAUUUUGAUAAUAAUAGUUUGAUCUGUUUUACCGAGAAGGUCUACGGUUCGAGUCCGUAUAGCCCUAAUAUUGCUACCUAUACUACUCAGAUUUAUAGAUAGUAGAUACUUAUAUAAUAGUAGAUAUAAUAGUCGAUAUAUUUGAUAUAGUACUAUAUAGUAUUUAGUACUAUAUACUAUUAAUUAUAUUAAUAGUAUAUGGAAUACUAAAUACUCCAUACUUGUAAUAUUACUAGUUUAAAUAUACUAUAUUUUUAGUUAAUUAGUAUUAUUAAAAAUGAAUCAAUUUCUAUUUGAAUAGAUUAAUAUUGGAUAGAAUAAUAUUUCUAUUAGUAUACUCAGAUACUAGUAUGAAUUUGAUCCGAAAUAAUGUAAAUUUAAUAAAAUAAAAAGCAUUUCUAUUUAGUAUUUAGAUUAAUUUUCAUUAAUCUAAUAAUUUGAAAAUUUCAAUUCAAAUCGACUAAGAAUUAAUAAGAAUCCGGUAUAUUUUUCACAUUCAUAGGAGUACAUUUAUGUUUUUGCUUUAUGAAUAUGAUAUUUUUUGGACAUUUCUAAUAAUAUCGAUCUUUAUUCCUAUUUUGGCAUUUCUGAUUUCUGGAAUUUUAGCUCCAAUUAGAAAAGGGCCAGAAAAACUUUCUAGUUAUGAAUCUGGGAUAGAACCGAUGGGCGAUGCUUGGUUACAAUUUCAAAUCCGUUAUUAUAUGUUUGCUCUAGUUUUUG